AGGAGAUUCAGCACAGACACGAUCACUUCACUCAGAGGGGGAGUCUCAUCUCUGAAGAACUGCAUUCUGGGUAUGAAGAUGCUGAUGAGCUUCUCUCAGCAAAAGCGUUCAAGAGUGUAUAUUAUAAUUAUGUCACUAAUGACAGUGGCCUAAAAGAAGAGAUGGUGAAGGAAAUCACACCGGGAUACUAUGAUGAUGUCAUCACUGUUGGACUGAAACCAGAUCGUGAGACAGUAGACACACCUGAGAGCUAUGAUGAUGUCAUGACGACCGGACAGAACUCUGAUAUCAAAAAAGGUGUUUUACCUUUUAAUCAAUUAAACUAUAUAUAAUAUUUAAAAUCCAGAUUGUUACAAAUAAUAUUUUAAAUCACUGUCUUUAAUGGGUUUAUUGGCUAAUAUUUAAUUUUGACUCAUAUUCGCAUGUGUAGACACACCAGAGAAUUAUGAUGAUGUCAUCAUUAUUAGACAGACCUCUCAAGGGGUAACAAGUUAGAGGCACAAAACUACAUUAUUUUUUUUAUCAGCCUUUUCAUGUUUACAUGAGUAUUAGACAUGCGUUCUGUAUAAUCAAGUCACUGAAGGGAAAAAGGAUCCUUCAAAUGAGAUAAAGUGUUUUAUAAACUGA